GACGAACGCUGGCGGCGUGCUUAACACAUGCAAGUCGAACGGAAAGGCCUCGUUCGGGGGGUACUCGCGUGGCGAACGGGUGAGUAACACGCGAGUAACCUGCCCUUGACUUUGGGAUAACUUCAGGAAACAGGGGGUAAUACAGGAUAGGAGCUCCUGCUGCAUGGUGGGGGGUGGAGAGAUUCGGGGGUUUGGGGUGGACUCGCGGCGUAUCAGCUUGUUGGUGGGGGGGUGGCUUACCAAGGCUUUGGCGGGGAGGCGGCCUGGGGGGGUGACCGGCCACCUUGGGACUGACGUACGGCCCAGGCCUCUACCGGGAGGCACAGGGGGGAAUAUUGCCCCAAGGGUGGGAGCCCGGUGCCGCAACGCCGUGGGCCGGAUGACCGCCUUCCGGUUGGAAACCGCUUUCGCCCAUGACGAAGCCUUGUGUGACGGUAGUGGGUAAAGAAGCACCGGCUAACUACGUG
rnacentral:rRNA from 1 species